CCUACGGGAGGCAGCAGUGAGGAAUAUUGGUCAAUGGACGCAAGUCUGAACCAGCCAUGCCGCGUGCAGGAAGACGGCUCUAUGAGUUGUAAACUGCUUUUGUACGAGGGUAAACGCAGAUACGCGUAUCUGUCUGAAAGUAUCGUACGAAUAAGGAUCGGCUAACUCCGUGCAAGCAGCCGCGGUAAUACGGAGGAUUCAAGCGUUAUCCGGAUUUAUUGGGUUUAAAGGGAGCGUAGGCGGUCGGAUAAGUUAGAGGUGAAAUCCCGAGGCUCAACUUCGGAAUUGCAUCUGAUACUGUUCGGCUAGAGAGUAGUUGCGGUAGGCGGAAUGUAUGGUGUAGCGGUGAAAUGCUUAGAGAUCAUACAGAACACCGAUUGCGAAGGCAGCUUACCAAGCUACUUCUGACGUUGAGGCACGAAAGCGUGGGGAGCAAACAGGAUUAGAUACCCCUGUAGUC
rnacentral:rRNA from 1 species